rnacentral:rRNA from 1 species
ACGGCUCAGUAACACGUGGAUAACCUACCCUUUGGACAGGGAUAAACCCGGGAAACUGGGUAUAAUACCCGAUAGAUCUCGAAUGCUGGAAUGCAUCGAGAUCGAAAGCUCCGGCGCCUAAGGAUGGAUCUGCGGCCUAUCAGGUAGUAGUGGGUGUAGCGUACCUACUAGCCUACGACGGGUACGGGUUGUGAGAGCAAGAGCCCGGAGAUGGAUUCUGAGACACGAAUCCAGGCCCUACGGGGUGCAGCAGGCGCGAAAACUUUACAAUGCCGGCAACGGCGAUAAGGGGACCUCGAGUGCCAGGUUACAAAUCUGGCUGUCGAGAUGCCUAAAAAGCAUUUCAUAGCAAGGGCCGGGCAAGACCGGUGCCAGCCGCCGCGGUAACACCGGCGGCUCGAGUGGUAACCGUUAUUAUUGGGUCUAAAGGGUCUGUAGCCGGCCGGAUAAGUCUCUUGGGAAAUCUGGCAGCUUAACUGUCAGGCUUUCAGGAGAUACUGUCUGGCUCGAGGCCGGGAGAGGUGAGAGGUACUUCAGGGGUAGGGGUGAAAUCUUGUAAUCCUUGAAGGACCACCAGUGGCGAAGGCGUCUCACCAGAACGGACCUGACGGCAAGGGACGAAAGCUAGGGGCACGAACCGGAUUAGAUACCCGGGUAGUCCUAGCCGUAAACGAUACUCGCUAGGUGUCGGCCGCGGUGCGACCGUUGUCGGUGCCGUAGGGAAGCCGUGAAGCGAGCCACCUGGGAAGUACGGCCGCAAGGCUGAAACUUAAAGGAAUUGGCGGGGGAGCAC